UACGGAGGGGGCUAGCGUUGUUCGGAAUUACUGGGCGCAAAGCGCGCGUAGGCGGACCUGCAAGUCGGGGGUGAAAGCCCGAGGCUCAACCUCGGAACUGCCUUCGAUACUGCGGGUCUCGAGUCCGGGAGAGGUGAGUGGAAUUCUUAGUGUAGAGGUGAAAUUCGUAGAUAUUAGGAAGAACACCAGUGGCGAAGGCGGCUCACUGGCCCGGUACUGACGCUGAGGCGCGAAAGCGUGGGGAGCAAACAGG
rnacentral:rRNA from 1 species